UAAUCAAAUAGAGAUAAAUCCAUCCGUUCAGAGCCGACACAAUGGGAGACGGACAGCAAGUGGAGCGCUCAAGCUCCGUAGACCCCAUAGUGUGGCCGAGAGUGGGGCAAGGACAAAGGGAAGAAGAAAAUUCCUCCAGCCACGUUCUGCAGCACAACAACAGAUGUGUUUAAUAAGUGAGAUCCUCUGGAGCAGCUGUAUGUUGAAUACUGGUUCAUUGACCAUAUGAAGACAAAUGGCUAACAGCUGGUUUCCCCCACUGCUGUCCUACCUCUUGGAAAAAAAUAAAUAAAAGAAACCUGUUUCUUAAGUUCAUCACACAGUGUGUCCCUGGCCGUAGUAAUGCUACUCAACCGAGAAGCUACAGAUGGACUAUGCAGCACUGCAGCUUUUAGGUGAAGUCCACAUGUAUACAAUUAACACUGUUAUUGCUAUAACAUUGUACAUCAUGUAAUGUGCUAGAAUUAAAUCGGGGCUAAUAGUUGAAUUUUCUUAUUUUUCCCCCCCCAUUUUUUCCUCUUGUUGUGAAGACUUUAAAGCAUGGGUUUAUAUAGAAAUUCAGUUUAAUAAAUAACCACACUCUGGGAAAUAUUUACAAAUUGAAAAGUGUCCCCUUGAUAUUAUUAGUGUCAUCCUGCUAUUCUGGCCAGGAUUAGAGAAACAUGAUUAAAUAUAUAGUUCAUAAUAACUGAUCAGUGUGUGAUGAAUUAUUGAUUAGCACUAUUAUAGCUAUUUAUUUUGCACAAAGGCAGCUUUGUUUGGUAUGCCCAUAUAUUUACAUUUAUAAUGAAGUGAAUACUGUCGAAUCAAUAAUCU
ensembl:lncRNA